rnacentral:rRNA from 1 species
AGAGUUUGAUCCUGGCUCAGGAUGAACGCUGACAGAAUGCUUAACACAUGCAAGUCAUUGGCGAAGCUGCGCUUGCGCAGUCUAGCCAAGGCGGACGGGUGAGUAACGCGUAAGGAACUUGCCCUGCAGACAGGGAUAACAGACGGAAACGACUGAUAACACCUGGUAUUGUCAGGCUGGCGCAUGCCGGCCUGAUGAAAGGAGACGCUGCAGGAGAGCCUUGCGUCCUAUUAGCUAGUUGGUGGGGUAACGGCCCACCAAGGCGAUGAUAGGUAGCCGGCCUGAGAGGGUGAACGGCCACAAGGGGACUGAGAUACGGCCCUUACUCCUACGGGAGGCAGCAGUGGGGAAUAUUGGACAAUGGGGGCAACCCUGAUCCAGCAAUUCUGUGUGCACGAAGAAGGUUUUCGGAUUGUAAAGUGCUUUCAGCAGGGAAGAAGAAAGUGACGGUACCUGCAGAAGAAGCGACGGCUAAAUACGUGCCAGCAGCCGCGGUAAUACGUAUGUCGCAAGCGUUAUCCGGAAUUAUUGGGCAUAAAGGGCAUCUAGGCGGCCCUGUAAGUCUAGGGUGAAAACCUGCGGCUCAACCGCAGGCCUGCCCCGGAAACUACAGGGCUAGAGUAUCGGAGAGGUGGACGGAACUGCACGAGUAGAGGUGAAAUUCGUAGAUAUGUGCAGGAAUGCCGAUGAUGAAGAUAGUUCACUGGACGGUAACUGACGCUGAAGUGCGAAAGCUAGGGGAGCAAACAGGAUUAGAUACCCUGGUAGUCCUAGCUGUAAACGAUGAUUACUGGGUGUGGGCAUGAAGAGUGUCCGUGCCGAAGCAAAUGCGAUAAGUAAUCCGCCUGGGGAGUACGGCCGCAAGGCUGAAACUCAAAGGAAUUGACGGGGACCCGCACAAGCGGUGGAGCAUGUGGUUUAAUUCGACGCAACGCGAGGAACCUUACCAGAUCUUGACAUCCUGCGAAUGCCCGUGAGAGCGGGCAGUGCCUUCGGGAACGCAGAGACAGGUGGUGCAUGGCUGUCGACAGCUCGUGUCGUGAGAUGUUGGGUUAAGUCCCGCAACGAGCGCAACCCCUAUCGUUAGUUGCCAUCAUUAAGUUGGGGACUCUAGCGAGACUGCCUGCGAAGAGCAGGAGGAAGGUGGGGAUGACGUCAAGUCAUCAUGCCCCUUAUGAUCUGGGCUACACACGUGCUACAAUGGC